rnacentral:sRNA from 1 species
GGUCGCCCAGCCUUGAAAACACACACGUACCGUCACAUGGUCCCGGGUGCCGUUGAUUUGCGUCAAUGGUCGGAUCCAUGGGGUAUGUGGAGGCCUAACC